GCCCGGGCGCCCCAUUUGCUCAGAACAAGGGCGUCGCUCCACCGGGGAGCUGAUUCUAGCAUUCCCGGCGCGCACCUGCGUCCCCGCGUUCCGAAGGAGCUGCAGGAAGACACCACUGCUGCUCCGGGUGGGAGGUUUCCUGUAAAGGCAAACCUCCCUGGAGGCGACAGGGCCCCGCCCAGCGCCGGGGAAAACGGGCUCAGCUGCGCCAAGUGACCUCCUGCCCCGCUGUCAGUCAGGGAAAAGGGGAGGGGUCCUUGAGAGCUGUCCAAUCAGGGGCGCAGCAAGCAGGUGGGCGGGGCGACGCUGCGCCACCACGUGGACGCUCCCACUCCCGCGGUAGCGUCUCAGCUGCGCCGAACGAUCCAGGUGCUUCAGCUGCCGCGUGGGCAGCGCUGUGACCUGCACAGCCCGGGAGCCGCAGGGAUGACGCCGGGGGACCCAGAAGCCGGCCAGCGGACUGGCAGUAAAUCCAAAAUCCACAUCCCUCCCGCCUCCUGAAAUGCCCGCUUCGCGUCUCCCACUCAUCGCUAUUUGUGUUCCGGGGUUCGUUUCAAACAGACACAGUAUUUUAAUUCCCAGCCCCCAACCUCUGGGGAGCGGAAGGAGCAGGAGAUGGAGACAAUCACCAUAACACCAGUGAUUUCAUCAGUCAUGCCUCUGCAAGGCAAUGAAUACCGUCAAAACUCCUAAACUUCUGAAUUCAGAGAUCCCAAGUUGGUGAGCACAGCAGUGGCUGGAGGGUGUCACGUCUGCAGAGGGCGUGGAAGAAGCUCUCUCCCCACCUCCCACUUUGCCCUGUGAACCCUCGCCAUUUGGCUGGUCCUGAGUUCUGUCUUUUACAAUAAACCAGUAAUGAGCAAUUUUCUUAGCUCUAAUACUGCUUCUAUAGAAUUAACAAACAUGAGGGAUUAUCUAGGGAAUCUCUGAAUUUGUAGUUGCCCAUGCAGAGCCAUGCACAAAUGUAGCCUGGGCACCCCCCCCCCCGCCCACCACCGCCUUUGUGGCUGUUAUAUGACAGGGGGCAGUCUUAUGGGACUGAGACAUUAAACUGUCUGACACUAAGGUUAGUGUUAGAGUUGAGUUGAAUCGAAUUGUAGGCUACCCUGUUGGUGUGUUAGGAAACUGGUGUUGAAAACCACCACAUAUUUCUUGUCAGGAGUAAAAAAAAAAAAGCCUAUGAGCCUCAUAGUGUUUCUGUCUCCCCACCAAACAGACAUC